rnacentral:rRNA from 1 species
GCAAGCGUUGUCCGGAUUUACUGGGCGUAAAGAGCGCGCAGGCGGUUGAUUAAGUCGAAUGUGAAAGCCCCCGGCUCAACUGGGGAGGGUCAUUCGAUACUGAUCAACUUGAAGGCAGGAGAGGGAAGUGGAAUUCCGGGUGUAGUGGUGAAAUGCGUAGAUAUCCGGAGGAACACCGAUGGCGAAGGCAGCCCCCUGGGCUAAGACUGACGCUGAGGCACGAAAGCGUGGGGAGCAAACAGG